UGGCGAGUGGCGAAAUGGUAAACGUACGGGUUCGCUACCCGGAGCAGGUUGUCCCUGUUGGUGGUUCAAGUCCACCCUCGCCGA
rnacentral:tRNA from 1 species